rnacentral:sRNA from 1 species
CUAUUUUAAUAGGUCCUAACACAAUCUUCAUCCCAUCGUUCACAAACGAAUGUGUUUUUGAAUCCAUCAUACAUUACUCUUCUAUCAUAUUGCCAUGGACGAACAAGCAACAAGUGACAAGCAUCCAUAGGUAUAACAUCACAAUUUAACUCGUCGGAUUAUUUAGCGCCAAUAGAAAAUUGAGCAAGACAAUGCUUGCGAACUUUUACCUCAUUACCCUUGCGAAGCUAGGAAAGCUUGUAUGGUUGAGAAUGAUCUUCUAUUUUGAGCUUCAAUUUCUUUACCAUUAAUGCUGCAAUGACAUUCUCACAGCUUUCUCCAUCAACGAUUACACCACAAAUCUUGCCAUGGGAUGUACACCUUGUGUGGAAAAUAUUGUUGCAAAGCCAAUUGUCAUACUCUACAUGUGCUGUACUCAAGCUUCAGUAGACCAUCAAAGAUUUUCCAUGGUCAGCAUAGGUCACCUCCUCUUCUUCUUCCUUAUCAUAUGUUGGUUAGCCUGAAUCUUCAAUUUCACAUUCAUCCUCUUCUACGAAGGCAACAAUUUUAUGAUUAGGACAAUCUGAUGCAAUAUGGCCUAUACCUUGACAUUUGAAGCAUCGAUGACUAGUAAAAGAAUUGGAACGACUAGGAUUAACAGUGGAUGUUUUUAGCUUCAAACUAAUUUUUGAUGAUGACGGCUUGAUGUAAUUAUUUCUUGAAAGGUCUGUAUUCCCACGAUUAAAAUUAGUGUCAUGAUUCACGGCACAACAUGCUCCUCUACGAGGCUCCUGUAAUUGCUUCUCAACCUUAGCUGCAAGUUUACAUACAUCGUUGAAAGUCCAGUAGGGCUGUAGCUGUAUCACGUCACAGAUUUCAGUAUGUAACCCACCAAGAUAACCAGCUAUAGUUUGCUCUUCGAGCUCCUUAAUCUUAUACCGUAACAUCAGAUAUUCAAAUUUAGCAGUAUAGUUUUUAGUAGAUAAUUCAUUCUGCUUUAUAUUAUGAAACUUAAGGAAAGAAUCAUGCUUGUAGUUAUCUGGAAGAAAUUUCUUCUUCAGGGCUUUCGGUAUCUUCUCCCAUGUUAAAAUACGACUUUUCCCUUCAUGUGCCCACUGUUUCUUAAGAUGCUCCCACCAGAUCAAUGUGUGUCUCUUCAACUUUAUGGCUAGAAUUUUCACCAUGCGGUCUUCUGGCACAUCCUUGUACCCAAAGAUCAUUUUCAUUGCAUGCAACCAAUCAAUGAAUUCAUCUGGUAACAUUCUGUCUUCAAAUUCUGGAACAUCAACUUUGAUGUCGAAAUCUCGGUCAAACAUGAGAUUUCUUCGAGAACGAUUGGAUCCCGUCCUAUGAUCUCGAUAGAAAAGAUUAUCCUCUUCUUCAUCAUCACAUGAACGUUUCUCCUGAGAUUCCUGAUUUUGCGCUUCUUGUCUCACGGUUUGAAGAUAGGCCAAUUGUUGUUGAAGAUGUGCAAUGUUUCAUUCUCAAUAUCACGAUGAUCCCGUUCACGAUUUGGUCUUUCAACGUCAGGCCCACGUCAACCACGAUCUCGAUUAGCCAUAAUAACCUGGGGACUCUGAUACCAACUGAUGUUGGAAAAUCACAGCAACAAAACUAAUUCUGGGAAAAAAUAAUGACGGUUACGGGAU